GGGGGCAACCCUGGUGGCGAGUGGCGAACGGGUGAGUAAUACAUCGGAACGUAUCUUCAAGUGGGGGAUAACGCACCGAAAGGUGUGCUAAUACCGCAUAAUCUCUCAGGAGAAAAGCAGGGGAUCGCAAGACCUUGCGCUUUUAGAGCGGCCGAUGUCUGAUUAGCUGGUUGGUGAGGUAAAGGCUUACCAAGGCGUCGAUCAGUAGCUGGUCUGAGAGGACGACCAGCCACACUGGGACUGGGACACGGCCCAGACUCCUACGGGAGGCAGCAGUGGGGAAUUUUGGACAAUGGGGGAAACCCUGAUCCAGCCAUGCCGCGUGAGUGAAGAAGGCCUUCGGGUUGUAAAGCUCUUUCAGCCGGAACGAAACGGUCACGGCUAAUACCUGUGACUACUGACGGUACCGGAAGAAGAAGCACCGGCUAACUACGUGCCAGCAGCCGCGGUAAUACGUAGGGUGCGAGCGUUAAUCGGAAUUACUGGGCGUAAAGCGUGCGCAGGCGGUUUUGUAAGUCAGAUGUGAAAUCCCCGGGCUUAACCUGGGAACUGCGUUUGAAACUACAAGGCUAGAGUGUGACAGAGGGGGGUGGAAUUCCACGUGUAGCAGUGAAAUGCGUAGAGAUGUGGAGGAACACCGAUGGCGAAGGCAGCCCCCUGGGUUAACACUGACGCUCA
rnacentral:rRNA from 1 species